rnacentral:rRNA from 1 species
UACAGGGAGGACAGGCGUUAUCCAUCAUGGUUAGGCGUAAAGGGUACGUAGACGUUUACAAUAUUAAUAAAUUAAAUAAAAUUUCAUAGCCUUUAACUAUGUUUUUUUGAUUUGUGGUGUAAAGUUGGUAUGUUUGAGGAGAAAGUAAUUGCUAGUGUAGGGGUAGAAUCCAACGAUAUUAGCAGGAAGUCUUAUUGCGAAGGCAUUUUUCUAAAACAUUCCUUUGUUGAGGUACGAAGGUUUGGGUAGCAAACGGG